rnacentral:lncRNA from 1 species
GGGAGGCUGAGCUCUAGGGAGCUCACCUAGAAUUAGCUCUCUGAUCUUGGGCAAACCAUUUAAUUUCUUUGGAUCUCAUUUUCUUGGAGCAAACUGAGACAUUUUGAUUAGAUCAUCUCUAAAACUGAACCUUAGCUAUUCCUGUAAUUCCUCUUAUUUGUUCCAAGAAACCAAAACACCAGCAGCCAGUUGCCCAUUUGGGGGGCUGUAGGUGCCCCUUGACAUAGCUGCCAGGUGCAUAGCCAUCUUUGUUUUUCAGAUCAUCCUGGGGGCCCAGUGCUUCUUCCUUCUAAUUGUUCCUUCAAGAUAAAAGAUGCUCUGUUUGAAUCCUGUGAAACCCAGAAAUGAAGCUUAAUUAUUUUAACUUAGAAAAGUGAAUCUCAAACAUGUGACCUGAAGCCAUCCAAAAAGCAAAGAACACCUGCUAACUUGGAAAGGGACAAAAUAGCUGAGACCCUGCCCUAUGGGUUUUACAGUAAAAACCCAUCUCCUAAUAACUUACUGUAGCUGAAAUUCAGUGCAAGGCUAAGG